rnacentral:rRNA from 1 species
UAGGGAAUCUUCCACAAUGGACGCAAGUCUGAUGGAGCAACGCCGCGUGAGUGAAGAAGGUUUUCGGAUCGUAAAGCUCUGUUGUUGGUGAAGAAGGAUAGAGGCAGUAACCGGUCUUUAUUUGACGGUAAUCAACCAGAAAGUCACGGCUAACUACGUGCCAGCAGCCGCGGUAAUACGUAGGUGGCAAGCGUUGUCCGGAUUUAUUGGGCGUAAAGCGAGCGCAGGCGGAAUGAUAAGUCUGAUGUGAAAGCCCACGGCUCAACCGUGGAACUGCAUCGGAAACUGUCAUUCUUGAGUGCAGAAGAGGAGAGUGGAACUCCAUGUGUAGCGGUGGAAUGCGUAGAUAUAUGGAAGAACACCAGUGGCGAAGGCGGCUCUCUGGUCUGCAACUGACGCUGAGGCUCGAAAGCAUGGGUAGCGAACAGGAUUAGAUACCCUGGUAGU